rnacentral:rRNA from 1 species
GAAUAUUGGACAAUGGGCGAAAGCCUGAUCCAGCCAUGCCGCGUGUGUGAAGAAGGUCUUCGGAUUGUAAAGCACUUUAAGUUGGGAGGAAGGGGUUGAAGCUAAUACCUUCAAUCUUUGACGUUACCAACAGAAUAAGCACCGGCUAACUUCGUGCAAGCAGCCGCGGUAAUACGAAGGGUGCAAGCGUUAAUCGGAAUUACUGGGUGUAAAGCGCGCGUAGGUGGUUCGUUAAGUUGGAAGUGAAAGCCCCGGGCUUAACCUGGGAAUUGCUUUCAAAACUGACGAGCUAGAGUACGGUAGAGGGUAGUGGAAUUUCCUGUGUAGCGGUGAAAUGCGUAGAUAUAGGAAGGAACAUCAGUGGCGAAGGCGACUACCUGGACUGAUACUGACACUGAGGUGCGAAAGCGUGGGGAGCAAACAGG